UAAAGGUUUGGUCCUGACUUUGCCAUCAACUUAAACUAGAUUUACACAUGCAAGUAUCCGCACCCCGGUGAGAAUGCCCCACAAGCUCCUGAUUGGAGACGAGGAGCUGGUAUCAGGCACAAUUUUUAGCCCACGACGCCUUGCUUAGCCACACCCCCAAGGGAACUCAGCAGUGAUAGACAUUAAGCUAUGAGUGAAAACUUGACUUAGUCAAUGUUGAUAGGGCCGGUAAAUCUCGUGCCAGCCACCGCGGUUAUACGAGAGACCCAAGUCGAUGGUCUUCGGCGUAAAGAGUGGUUAGGAAAUAACUAAAACUAAAGGUGAAUAUUCUCAGAGCUGUUGAACGCUAAUGAGAAGAUGAAAAUCAACUACGAAAGUGACUUUAAACCCCUGACCCCACGAAAGCUAAGGUACAAACUGGGAUUAGAUACCCCACUAUGCUUAGCCACAAACAUAGAUAUUAAUAUACUUAUUUUAUCCGCCCGGGAACUACGAGCGCUAGCUUAAAACCCAAAGGACUUGGCGGUGCUUUAGAUCCACCUAGAGGAGCCUGUUCUAGAACCGAUAAUCCCCGUUAAACCUCACCUUUCCUUGUCUUAUCCGCCUAUAUACCGCCGUCGUCAGCUUACUCUGUGAAGACCCCAUAGUAGGCACAAUCGGCACAGCCCAAAACGCCAGGUCGAGGUGUAGCGUAUGGAGAGGGAAGAAAUGGGCUACAUUCAAUAAACUAAUGCAUACGGAUGAUACCCUGAAAAAGAUAUCUGAAGGAGGAUUUAGCAGUAAGUAGAGAAUAGAGUGCUCUACUGAAUCCGGCCCUGAAGCGCGCACACACCGCCCGUCACUCUCCCCGAGCUGACGAAAUUUCAUAACUAAUAAGAUAGACAUGCAAAGGGGAGGCAAGUCGUAACAUGGUAAGUGUACCGGAAGGUGCACUUGGAAUAACU
rnacentral:ncRNA from 1 species